rnacentral:rRNA from 1 species
GACGAACGCUGGCGGCGUGCUUAACACAUGCAAGUCGAACGGAAAGGCCCUGCUUUUGGGGGGUGCUCGAGUGGCGAACGGGUGAGUAACACGUGAGUAACCUGCCCUUGACUUUGGGAUAACUUCAGGAAACUGGGGCUAAUACCGGAUAGGAGCUCCUGCUGCAUGGUGGGGGUUGGAAAGUUUCGGCGGGUGGGGAUGGACUCGCGGCUUAUCAGCUUGUUGGUGGGGUAGUGGCUUACCAAGGCUUUGACGGGUAGCCGGCCCUGGAGGGUGGCCGGGCCCCAUGGGCCUUGGGUACGGACCCGACUCCUACGUGGGGCAAACGGGGGGAAUAUUGCACAAUGGGCGGAAGCCUGAUGCAGCAACGCCGCGUGCGGGAUGACGGCCUUCGGGUUGUAAACCGCUUUCGCCUGUGACGAAGCGUGAGUGACGGUAAUGGGUAAAGAAGCACCGGCUAACUACGUG